rnacentral:rRNA from 1 species
CUGCGGGAGGCAGCAGUGGGGAAUAUUGGACAAUGGGCGCAAGCCUGAUCCAGCAAUGCCGCGUGGGAGAAGACGGCCUGCGGGUUGUAAAGCCCUUUAGGCGGGGAAGAACGGCCGGGCGCAAACAGCGCGCGGCUCUGACGUUACCCGCAGAAUAAGCACCGGCUAACUCCGUGUCAGCGGCCGCGGUAAUACGGAGGGUGCGAGCGUUAAUCGGAAUUACUGGGCGUAAAGCUUGCGUAGGCGGUUCGGUCAGUCAGCCGUGAAAGCCCCGGGCUCAACCUGGGAACGGCGGUUGAGACGGCCGGACUAGAGUGGGCUAGAGGAUCGUGGAAUUCCCGGUGUAGCGGUGAAAUGCGUAGAGAUCGGGAGGAACACCGAUGGCGAAGGCAGCGGUCUGGGGCCACACUGACGCUGAGGCACGAAAGCGUGGGGAGCAAACAGGAUUAGAUACCCUGGUAGUCC